rnacentral:lncRNA from 1 species
UAGAUUCAAUGGCUCCUUGUUGUCAACUAAACCCAAAGUUCUUUGGCUUUCCUCAUGUGUAGCAAUAACAUACGCCUCAUUCACUGUAUCAAUAAAUCUUCUUGCCAAUAUAUUGCUGCUAAUAUUGCUAUAACUCUCACUCAGUCCCAUAAAAAAUUAUAGCAACAGUUGGGAUUUUAGGUGUUCAAUAAUUGGUCUUGCCUCCUCACAGUCAUAGCCUGACAGUGGAGCUAAUAUGCCCAGUUCAUCCCAAAAAUAUUUUUUUCAAGAAGUAAG